rnacentral:lncRNA from 1 species
UUUGCUCCUUUCUCCAGAGAAACGGAAAGCAUUGGAGCAUUACUCUGAUCUGGCAUAUUUCUCAGUCGCAUCUCUUUAAAAAAAAAGGUGUAGCUUUAUGGUGGCGUUCUGCCGGCAUGGACACGGGAUCCAGGGAAGUCAUGUUAAAACCACGAAGACAAUUUUAAAAUUGAUGUACACUGCAUAUAUAUGAAAUGAUAAAAACUCCUGACCAAGUGCACAGAAUGUGGGCAAUAAAUUUAUAGAAAAAUACACCUCACAGAAGAACAGCAACCAUAGACAAAUAGCCCUUGUAAGGCUGAGACUGAAUAAGGAAAAUCCACAUGCAGACACUCAAUUGAAGGAGUGGGUUUAAAUCCAGCUGGA